rnacentral:rRNA from 1 species
CGUGGGUGAUGAAGGCUUUCGGGUCGUAAAGCUCUGUCAAGUGGGAAGAAACCAUAUGGUGUUAAUAUCGCCAUAUGCUGACGGUACCACUGAAGGAAGCACCGGCUAACUCCGUGCCAGCAGCCGCGGUAAUACGGGGGGUGCGAGCGUUAUUCGGAUUUACUGGGCGUAAAGAGCGCGUAGGCGGUCUUUCAAGUCAGGUGUGAAAGCCCGGGGCUCAACCCCGGAAGUGCACUUGAAACUAAAAGACUUGAGUAUGGGAGAGGGAAGUGGAAUUCCUGGUGUAGCGGUGAAAUGCGUAGAUAUCAGGAGGAACAUCGGUGGCGAAGGCGACUUCCUGGACCAAUACUGACGCUGAGGCGCGAAGGCGUGGGGAGCAAACAGGAUUAGAUACCCUGGUAGUCCACGCAGUAAACGGUGAACACUAGGUGUAGCGGGUAUUGACCCCUGCUGUGCCGCAGCAAACGCAUUAA